UGAGGAAUAUUGGUCAAUGGGCGAAAGCCUGAACCAGCCAUGCCGCGUGAAGGAAUAAGGCCCUAUGGGUCGUAAACUUCUUUUGUAUCGGAGCAAUAAGGGCCACGAGUGGUCCGAUGAGAUUACGAUACGAAUAAGCAUCGGCUAACUCCGUGCCAGCAGCCGCGGUAAUACGGGGGAUGCGAGCGUUAUCCGGAUUUAUUGGGUUUAAAGGGUGCGUAGGCGGUCCGGUAAGUCAGCCGUGAAAAGCCCCCGCUCAACGGGGGUCGUGCGUUUGAUACUGUUGGACUGGAAUGCGGAUGCCGUGGGAGGAAUGUGUGGUGUAGCGGUGAAAUGCAUAGAUAUCACACAGAACACCGAUUGCGAAGGCAUCUCACGAAUCCGCAAUUGACGCUGAGGCACGAAAGCGCGG
rnacentral:rRNA from 1 species